rnacentral:lncRNA from 1 species
CGAGGCGACGGGCUCCGGGCCCUGAUAGAUGGGGUGCGGGGACGGAGACAAAUGACGGCCUUUGGGCUCGGAAUACCCACCUUUCUGGUAAUGCAGCCCAGCGGGUCCCAGCCUCGUUUUCCAGCCCUCACUCAAAAUGGAGUCGCUCUGGUUCGAACGCCUCUGACAAGUGUGUACCUACGUGUCAGGGUGAGUAUGGGGCUGUAUGUACACACGUGUCACUGUGUACACGUGUCGGUGCGCAUGUAUGAAUGUGUGUUGUCCUUGGCUGGCAGGCAGCUGGAGUGUGAAUUUCCCUGAGGGUUUCCACUUCCCUGUGGUUCAGGCUGGGGCCGUC